UACGAAGGGGGCUAGCGUUGUUCGGAAUUACUGGGCGUAAAGCGCGUGUAGGCGGGUCCUUAAGUCAGGGGUGAAAUGCCGAGGCUCAACCUCGGAACUGCCUUUGAUACUGGGGAUCUUGAGUCCGGGAGAGGUGAGUGGAACUGCGAGUGUAGAGGUGAAAUUCGUAGAUAUUCGCAAGAACACCAGUGGCGAAGGCGGCUCACUGGCCCGGAACUGACGCUGAGACGCGAAAGCGUGGGGAGCCGAACGAGG
rnacentral:rRNA from 1 species